rnacentral:rRNA from 1 species
GUCUUUUUGAGUUAUUUUUAAAGUCUGACCUGCCCACUGAAUUUUUAAAUGGCCGCAGUAUUCUAACUGUGCAAAGGUAGCAUAAUCAUUAGUCUUUUAAUUGAAGGCUGGUAUGAACGGUUGGACGAGGUAUAAACUGUUUCAUAUAUAUUUAUAUUAAAAUUUUAUAUUUUAGUUAAAAAGCUAAAAUGUUAUUAAAAGACGAGAAGACCCUAUAAAUCUUUAUAUUUUAUAUUAUUUAAAUUUUUUGGAUUUGGUUUAUUUUUAUUAUAUAAAAUAUUUUGUUGGGGUGAUGUUAAAAUUUAAUGAACUUUUAAUUAUUUAAAAUCAUUAAUUUAUGUAUUAUUGAUCCAUUAUUAGUGAUUAUCAGAUUAAGUUACUUUAGGGAUAACAGCGUAAUUUUUUUGGAGAGUUCAUAUCGAUAAAAAAGUUUGCGACCUCGAUGUUGGAUUAAGAUAUAGUUUUAGGUGUAGCAGCUUAAAUGAUAAGUCUGUUCGACUUUUAAAUUCUU